rnacentral:rRNA from 1 species
CCUACGGGGGGCAGCAGUAGGGGAUAUUGCACAAUGGGGGGAACCCUGAUGCAGCAACGCCGCGUGGUCGAAGGAGCGUUUCGGCUCGUAAAGUCCUUUCGUGAGGGAAGAAGAUGACGGUACCUCGCGAAGAAGCACCGGCUAACUCCGUGCCAGCAGCCGCGGUAAUACGUAGGGUGCAAGCGUUAUCCGGAUUCACUGGGCGUAAAGGGGGCGCAGGCGGCAAUGUAAGUCAGGUGUGAAAGCCCGGGGCUCAACUACGGGACUGCACGUGAAACUGUGUGGCUAGAGUGCGGGAGAGGGAGGGGGAAGUCCUGGUGUAGCGGUGAAAUGCGUAGAUAUCAGGAGGAACACCGGUGGCGAAGGCGGCCUGCUGGACUGUGACUGACGCUGAGGCACGAAGGCGUGGGGAGCAAAUAGGAUUAGAUACCCUUGUAGUC